rnacentral:rRNA from 1 species
UAAAAGGUAACGGAGGCGCUCAAAGGUUCCCUCAGAAUGGUUGGAAAUCAUUCAUAGAGUGUAAAGGCAUAAGGGAGCUUGACUGCGAGACCUACAAGUCGAGCAGGGUCGAAAGACGGACUUAGUGAUCCGGUGGUUCCGUAUGGAAGGGCCAUCGCUCAACGGAUAAAAGCUACCCCGGGGAUAACAGGCUUAUCUCCCCCAAGAGUUCACAUCGACGGGGAGGUUUGGCACCUCGAUGUCGGCUCAUCGCAUCCUGGGGCUGUAGUCGGUCCCAAGGGUUGGGCUGUUCGCCCAUUAAAGCGGUACGCGAGCUGGGUUCAGAACGUCGUGAGACAGUUCGGUCCCUAUCCGUCGUGGGCGUAGGAAUUGAGAGGAGCUGUCCUUAG